rnacentral:lncRNA from 1 species
CAGGGUUAAGGGAGCACAGGCUCUGAUGUCAGACCAUACUGGGAUCCUGCAUGUGGGGUUGCUGCCAUUUCGUAGGGAGCCUCUCUUGAGAAUCCAGGGGGUGACUGUGCUGUCUGGGGGUGAUACUCAGGUAAUGCCUCUGGAAAGGAACACCUUGAUUUCCUGGAGUUUGGCUUAGGAGAAGCAGUUUGCCGCAGCCAGCCUGUGCAGAGGAGAGAGCAGGAAACCAACAGACAGGAGAGAGAAAAGUGUAAAACUCAAAGAUGUGAGUUUCCAGACUGAAAGAGACUACCAAGAAGGAAUUUUCUUUCUAGGAAUAAGAAAAAUCUCACCAAAGCACGGAGAAGAAAUAGACCAUAUGUGGCAACCAGCAGUCAAACUGAAGUUAACACAUGAUGGAGCAAUGCUUUCCAGCUUGAGAAAAAUAUUUCCACUGUACAGUUCGAUACUCAGCCAAACACGAGUCAAAGAGGAGAAAAGACUUGCUAGCUCAGCAGGAUAACUCGUCCAGUGUUUGAAGCCGGAGAUGAAGCUUCCCCUUUAGAGGCCAAACAUCUUUCCAAUCCAAGGACUCCUUUAGACCCUUGUCGUCGUCAGUUUUCUGUUGCUUUAACAAAACAUCUGAGACCAGGUAACUUAUAAAAAGUAGAAGCUGAUU